AGCGAACGCUGGCGGCAGGCCUAACACAUGCAAGUCGAACGAACUCUUCGGAGUUAGUGGCGGACGGGUGAGUAACACGUGGGAACGUGCCUUUAGGUUCGGAAUAACUCAGGGAAACUUGUGCUAAUACCGAAUGUGCCCUUCGGGGGAAAGAUUUAUCGCCUUUAGAGCGGCCCGCGUCUGAUUAGCUAGUUGGUGAGGUAAAGGCUCACCAAGGCGACGAUCAGUAGCUGGUCUGAGAGGAUGAUCAGCCACAUUGGGACUGAGACACGGCCCAAACUCCUACGGGAGGCAGUAGUGGGGAAUCUUGCGCAAUGGGCGAAAGCCUGACGCAGCCAUGCCGCGUGAAUGAUGAAGGUCUUAGGAUUGUAAAAUUCUUUCACCGGGGACGAUAAUGACGGUACCCGGAGAAGAAGCCCCGGCUAACUUCGUG
rnacentral:rRNA from 1 species